rnacentral:rRNA from 1 species
AUGGAGAGCUCAAGGGCGCCGGCCGGCGACGUGAACCUGGACCUGCGGCUCGUUCACCCAAUGGCGGCGGCAAGGCGCCCACACCCGCAGACGCCGGUGGCCGCCGACCGGACCUUCUCGUGCACCUACUGCCGGCGCAAGUUCUACAGCUCGCAGGCGCUGGGCGGCCACCAGAACGCUCACAAGCUCGAGCGCAGCCUCGCCAAGCGCAGCCGCGAGCUCUCCGCUGCCAGCCAGGUGGCGAUCGCCUCCUCCAGCGCCGCGUCUUCCCCGCCGCCCUCCGACUUGAUCAGCUGGUACACGCCGGGAGGCGGAGAUAGUGGCCAAGCUGCAGGGUCGGCCGCGGCCGUCGUCAGCUGGAUCGCCGAUGGUGGGCGCCGCCGCUACGUUCAUCGUGUGCACGCGGCCGGCAACGGGGAGGACGACAUCGAUCUGUCGCUCAAGCUGUAA